rnacentral:lncRNA from 1 species
CCCUAAACCAUAUGAGGGGCAGAUCCAGGAUUUUAGGUUAGGAGGGGCGCAAACUUAAAUUUUCGCCGAGCAGAGCGAGGCUAAAAAAAAAAUUGAGGUAAAAUUAUCGGAAUAUUCUUUAUUAAGCUGAGAACAACCCGUCCCAUACUUUGCAAAUUUAAGGGGGGUGCAAGCCCGCAACCCUCCCCCGUCUAAUCCGCCC